ACAGGGGGAUGCUUGUACGGCGAGUGAGCGGCAAAGCUCAAAUUUGAAAUCUGGUACCUUCGGUGCCCGAGUUGUAAUUUGGAGAGGGCAACUUUGGGGCCGUUCCUUGUCUAUGUUCCUUGGAACAGGACGUCAUAGAGGGUGAGAAUCCCGUGUGGCGAGGAGUGCGGUUCUUUGUAAAGUGCCUUCGAAGAGUCGAGUUGUUUGGGAAUGCAGCUCUAAGUGGGUGGUAAAUUCCAUCUAAAGCUAAAUAUUGGCGAGAGACCGAUAGCGAACAAGUACAGUGAUGGAAAGAUGAAAAGAACUUUGAAAAGAGAGUGAAAAAGUACGUGAAAUUGUUGAAAGGGAAGGGCAUUUGAUCAGACAUGGUGUUUUGUGCCCUCUGCUCCUUGUGGGUAGGGGAAUCUCGCAUUUCACUGGGCCAGCAUCAGUUUUGGUGGCAGGAUAAAUCCAUAGGAAUGUAGCUUGCCUCGGUAAGUAUUAUAGCCUGUGGGAAUACUGCCAGCUGGGACUGAGGACUGCGACGUAAGUCAAGGAUGCUGGCAUAAUGGUUAUAUGCCGCCCGUCUUG
rnacentral:rRNA from 1 species